CGAUGAUGCUUCAGUUCAGUUCUUUGCAGUUGGACAAACGACAGAUCACUCUUCCGCCUUCUUCCUCGCCAGUCGCAUCUUUUCAGGCCUACAGCUCGCAGACUGCACUUCUUCUUUCAUCGCAGAGUAGUGACCAGCCAGAGAUGGUCAUACCAGUACGACCAAUCAAAUUGGAAAUGAAAGUGUUUUAAGCCUCCAAACCCUGUUACCAGUCAACCUUCUCAACUCCACAAGUCAAGGAGCAUCCAGCUUUCACGUGAUAGAUGGAGACCCUGUGCUUCACAAUCCUGCUAUGGGAAUUGGGAUACCCUGCUCAUGGACAGCUUCUAAACCAUGUUACCAAUCAACCUUAUUUCAGCUCCACAAGUCAAGGAGCAUCCAGCUUUCACAAGAUAGAAAGCCCUGUGGUUGACAAUUUCCAUUCCUUGAAUGCUGGAAACAUGAUACUUGCAAAUGCUUCAUCAUAAUCAAUGCCCUAUGUCUUUCAUUGAAUUGGACGCAUCACAAACUGGAGUAGACACAUCUGAACUUGGGGUGACAUCUACUUCUAAUGGAGCAAGUUCACAAGAGCAGCAGCUUACACCGAAUAGUCAGGAGGUAAGCAUGGAUGACAUUUGGGAUUAUCUGUCAGGGGCGACAUCUCAGCUUGCACCGAAUAGCAAGGACAGCUUCUACGCUGAUCUGCCACCGCUGAUUGACAUCUAUGAUUGGUGGGUUUUAAUUAUAUCUUAGAUAGAAUUUGCAUAAUCAUAACCUCUUGUUUUUAUAACUAGAAGACCCCAUUAAAGUUGAUGGAAUACCUCGUCUUUCGGAGUAGAAACUUGUACACCAUUUUUCUUAAAUAUUUGAAUAUGUGGUUCUUUAUUUUUUUGGUGGUAAAUACCUUUCUAUAUGGUGCAAGUAGUUAAACAAACCAUAUACGAAAAAAAAAGGGAAAAAAAAAUGAGAACCACUUUAGGAAGCCAAAUUAAUUUCAUGUAGAAUCAGUCAACUUGUAAGAGAGAAUAGAGUUUUGAUUGAGGGUAGUGUUAAAGACAAGAAAUAGAAUGACGGAAUAGAUAACUUUGGCAUUGAAUGUGGAGAAAGUGCAUUUUCAUUAUUAAAUUAGAGAAUAUAUUAAUUAAAUCUUU